rnacentral:pre_miRNA from 1 species
UAAGGUUGGGGUCUCAGAAGUCAGUGCUCUUGAGGUGUCUCUAUCACGACUAAGACUCUGGUUCUCCUCACCGUCCUCACUCAGGGCACAGGUGA